rnacentral:rRNA from 1 species
CGCCGCGUGAGGGAUGACGGCCUUCGGGUUGUAAACCUCUUUCAGCGGGGACGAAGCGAAAGUGACGGUACCCGCAGAAGAAGCACCGGCCAACUACGUGCCAGCAGCCGCGGUAAUACGUAGGGUGCAAGCGUUGUCCGGAAUUAUUGGGCGUAAAGGGCUCGUAGGCGGUUUGUCACGUCGGGAGUGAAAACUCAGGGCUCAACCCUGAGCGUGCUUUCGAUACGGGCAGACUAGAGGUAUUCAGGGGAGAACGGAAUUCCUGGUGUAGCGGUGGAAUGCGCAGAUAUCAGGAGGAACACCGGUGGCGAAGGCGGUUCUCUGGGAAUUACCUGACGCUGAGGAGCGAAAGCAUGGGGAGCGAACAGGAUUAGAUACCCUGGUAGUCCAUGCCGUAAAACGUUGGGCGCUAGGUGUGGGACCCUUUCCACGGGUUCC